AAAACACAGCAAACACAAUCGUUCACACCACUCCCUUCCCCUCGCUCUCGCACCAGAAAUCGCCAUGCACUCCCUCGCCCAAAUCGUGCCUCCGACUCCCCUGCCUCCUCGACCCCACGCACCUGCCCGACCCGUUCUGACCUCACGAGUCGCGAGUCCCCAUGACCUUCGCCGAACCCUUGCCGUCGAGCGCCCUGACACGGCGACGACGCGCUCAACCGCGGCCAAGGGCGCCGCCACCGUCGGUUCCUCCAUGACGUCUGCCUGCGGGUUCGAACCACCUCCGCCGGAAUAGGGCAACAAGGAGACGACAACAUCGCCGUCGCGCCGCCCCACCCUAUGCCCCUGUCCCGGCCAUCGCGUGGUGUCACAGCUCCGGCGCUCCGUGCCUCCGCAGGACCAUGGCGGGCCGCCGCCUACUCAGCCUUGGGAAUCCAUCUGGACCAUGGCGGGCCGCUGCCUACUCAGCCUUGGGAAUGCAUCUGGUAUGUCGAUCUAUAUCCCCGCCUGUCUCUAUCCCCGUGGCUCUCCCAUCUUGGAGAAUCCAUGUACGGGGAUAGGUGGAUCCCGAUUCCCGACCGCGAGCGAAAUGAAGAGCGCACCGGCGAAGAAGAGCACCUUGUUGCGGCUGAGGUGCCAGCCAGCUAGCCCCAUGGGGACGAAGAGCACGACGCACGCCGCAACCACGCCCGCCUGCGCCGUGGCUGAAACUACCGGCCAGCUGGCCAACCUAGCGGCCGCCUGUGCUUCACCCGUAAGCGCGCGCUCGAGCGGCGAAGGUGCCACCAGAUGCAGGGCGCGGGUCGCCUCGGUUGGUCGUGUUGGUGCCUGCAAGUUGAGUUCUCUUUCAGAUUUGAACUCGAGAUUGUCACUUCCAUUUAUGUAGUGUGUUCAACCUAAUGAGAAAAAAACAUAUUGAUGGCGAGUCAGCUUCGCCAGUCGCCACAUGCUCAAUCAGAUCGAUGCUGCUAUUGUCGAGCAUCACAGGCUAUAGCCCUCUGUCAAAUUUUGACUCAAUCGGAUCGAUGUUACUAAUAUUAUGUCGAGCAUCACAGGUUACAGGCCUCAGUCAAAUUUUGACUCACGCAUUGCACUUGUAAAUUAAGAAAUUCUGCCAGCUAAACUAUGGACUAAACAAUUCACUGAAUAGUUGCAGAGGCAUGGGAGGACGUUGUAAACAUUGCCUUGAGGUCCAGUGAAAUGUUUGGUGCUACUGAAGGCUCAGAGGAUCAUGAGAUGGAGAGUUCUGCACAUGAACAAUUGGCAGAGGAUGACACUGAUGAAAGGAUGGAAUUUGGGCCACCACUUCGGUUUACAUCCAAGGCUGUGGUGUCAACUCACGUGUCCACGCCAAACAACGUCAAAGACUCUCGUGCCAAGAAACACCCUACAGUCCCAAGGCUGUUUUUGGUUUACUAGCAGAUGAUAGGCAAAUUAUUUCAAGAACCAAAUCAUAAGCUAUCAGUUCUGAAAGUUGGCGUGAUGCCUGGGGAUGAGACGCUAAUAUAUUGCAAUUUAUUGUCCGUCUUUGCCAUCAUACAAGAUCUUGACAAUUUUCAGUUUGCCAUUCGUAGUACAAUUCAUUCUAAAUUGUAAAAUUUUUGGUAUUUGCACACGAGUCCAUGGUUAUGGGUUAUGAUACGUGAUUUUUCUCUUGGUUACCCUGCAAAUUGUGAAAUUAUUUGAUGGUCUAAUGUAAUUCAACAAUGAGCCAGAAAGGUAGAUUUAGAUGUAAUGUUACAGCUUGAUAGAAAGAUGAAUAGAAUUAUCUCGUAUUGACAAAGGAUAUAUUCACAAAGAAUAUUAUAUAUGAAGAGGUUCAAACUCCAUAAAUAAGGAUACUUCCAACACAUCUAGGAGAACUGCAAGUGACUACAUGAUUGCCGUUGCCUGCCACGUCAAUACCUUUAUGAUGUUGUUAAGAAGAUAUGCUAUUAUGUUUAUCAGAUGUACACUCGGGAUAAAAUUAAUCUCUUAGUUUCGCCCAAUGGUCUCCCUGCUUCUAUGUACACACAUCUACAAUUUUAUUUGUUUUUGUUGUUGAUUCGCUCGUGCAAUAUGAUAUUUUGGACAU